rnacentral:rRNA from 1 species
GACUCUGGCCAUGCCACCCUGAACAAGCCCGAUGUCUGAUCUCGGAAGCUAAGCAGGGUCGGGCCUGGUUAGUACUUGGAUGGGAGACUACGUAGGAAGACCGGGUGCUGUAGGAA